GACAUGCUCCCUCCGUUUCAUAAUUCUUGUCAAAAUAUUACAUGUAUCUAGACAUUUUUUAAGAAUAGACACAUCCAUUUUUUAGCAAAUUUGAGACAAGAAUUGUGGAACGGAGGUAGUACUUC
rnacentral:pre_miRNA from 1 species